CUUGCUCCCUAGGGAAUAUCACUAUGAAAACUGGUGAUUGUAUCAACAGGACUUGAAGAUUUCUGCCACUUUUGAAGUGCAACUAAGGCUCUAAGUCAAAGUUUGAGAGGGAAUACACACAGAGAGAUAUUUCCCAGAUGGGCAAGCUACUGAAGAGAUACUGAAGAUAUUAAAAAUCAGAUAUUUGAAUGAAACCUUAGAAAUCAGAACUGGAAGGAUUCUAGAGAGACUAUACUAUUCAUUCCCAUGUGCAUGUUUCAAGUCAAUGCUGUGAAUAAUUCUGAUAAAUUAAGUGAAAUUUCUCAUGAAAGUGCCAGAUCCACACUGAACCAACCUGAAAGUGGAAAUGAGCAGUGUGAUGACUUGAACCUGGAAGCUGCGGUCAUAGCUUGGACCAAGAGAAGUCAAGGAAGAGCAAGGCGGAGGUCAGAAUUUGAAACGACUGUCUUUCAUGA
rnacentral:lncRNA from 1 species